UACGGAGGGUGCGAGCGUUGUCCGGAAUCACUGGGCGUAAAGGGCGCGUAGGUGGCCUGUGGAAGUCUGCGGUGAAAGCCCGGCGCUCAACGCCGGGUCGGCCGUGGAUACUCUCGGGCUUGAGCUUACUAGAGGCAGAUGGAAUUCCGGGUGUAGCGGUGGAAUGCGUAGAGAUCCGGAAGAACACCGGUGGCGAAGGCGGUCUGCUGGGGUAAUGCUGACACUGAUGCGCGACAGCGUGGGGAGCAAAUAGG
rnacentral:rRNA from 1 species